UUCCACCCACCCUGGCCCCCAAAUACUCUGGGAGGCGGAAAGCCUCAGGCAAGUUUUCAAGCUCCUUUUGCGCUUCACCUGGAAACAGACUUGGGGCUGUUGCAGGGGGCAAGGUGGGAGUGAGACUGACCCUUCAGUUUUCAUGGGAGCUGGGUGAGACCUGUGACUGCUGGCUUUCCCCCACUUCGCUGACAACCUGGAUGACUCAGCAGAGGCAGCCAUAAUCCUCCUAGAUACACAACUCCAGUGACCUGGGAAUCUCACUCCUGUCCCCCACAGCAGCCACAGCAAGACCCACCCAAGAAGAGUCUGAGCUCAGACCCACCUAGCCCUGCCUCCACCUGAUGGUCCUUCCCUACCCACCCUGAUAGUGUAAAACAAAGGGUGAGGUGUAUAAUCUUGGGAGUUCUAGGGCCCUGUCUACUGCAGGUCCCUCUCCACACUACUACAGCUGAUGCUUUCUGGAAAGCACCACUCCUGGCAGGAGGCCAACCAGCACAAAAAUAGAGCGUUAAACCAUCAAAGCUAAGAAUUUCACGGAGUCCAUUGCACCCUCCGCCACCUCUACCAGAACUGGCACUGGUAUCCAUGGCUGAUCACAGAACUUUGUUCAGACAAGCCUCAGUACCAAGCCUGGAGCUGGGUAGACUCGCUGGGUGGCUAGACCCAGAAGAGAGACAACAAUCACUGCAGUUCGGCUCACAGGAAGCCACAUCCAUGGGAAAAGGGGGAGAGUACUGCAUCAAGGGAACACCCUGUGGGACAGAAAAAUCUGAACAACAGCCUUCAGCCCUAGACCUUUCUUCUGACCGAGGCUACCCAAAUGAGAAGGAACCAGAAAACCAACCCUGGUAAUAUGACAAAACUAGGCCUGUCAGCAUCCCGCAAAAAUCACACUAGUUUACCAGCAGUGGAUCCAAACCAAGAAGAAAUCCCUGAUUUACCUGAAAAAGAGUUCAGGAGGUUAAUUCUUAAGCUAAUCAGGGAAGGACCAGAUAAAGGUGAAGCCCAAUGCAAGGAAAUCCAAAAAAUGAACUCCUGGGCUCAAGUGAUCUUCCUGGCUCAGCCUCCCAAGUAGCUGGGAUUCCAGGUGCACACUAUCGCACCCAGCUAAAUGUCUUCUAAUUGUUGUGCUUGGACCUUUUAUAUUUAAUGUAAUAUUUGUAUAUAAGGGCAUAAGUCU
rnacentral:lncRNA from 1 species